UUUGCUUGCAAACUAAAGAUGGCGACCGGCGCACGGGUGAGUAACACGUAUCCAACCUGCCGAUAACUCGGGGAUAGCCUUUCGAAAGAAAGAUUAAUAUCCGAUGGUAUAUUAAAACCGCAUGGUUUUACUAUUAAAGAAUUUCGGUUAUCGAUGGGGAUGCGUUCCAUUAGUUUGUUGGCGGGGUAACGGCCCACCAAGACUACGAUGGAUAGGGGUUCUGAGAGGAAGGUCCCCCACAUUGGAACUGAGACACGGUCCAAACUCCUACGGGAGGCAGCAGUGAGGAAUAUUGGUCAAUGGACGAGAGUCUGAACCAGCCAAGUAGCGUGAAGGAUGACUGCCCUAUGGGUUGUAAACUUCUUUUAUAUGGGAAUAAAGUAUUCCACGUGUGGAAUUUUGUAUGUACCAUAUGAAUAAGGAUCGGCUAACUCCGUGCCAGCAGCCGCGGUAAUACGGAGGAUCCGAGCGUUAUCCGGAUUUAUUGGGUUUAAAGGGAGCGUAGGUGGAUUGUUAAGUCAGUUGUGAAAGUUUGCGGCUCAACCGUAAAAUUGCAGUUGAAACUGGCAGUCUUGAGUACAGUAGAGGUGGGCGGAAUUCGUGGUGUAGCGGUGAAAUGCUUAGAUAUCACGAAGAACUCCGAUUGCGAAGGCAG
rnacentral:rRNA from 1 species